rnacentral:lncRNA from 1 species
GCAGUCAUGGCGCAGGAAGAGGAAGAUGUUAGAGAUUACAAUUUGACUGAAGAACAGAAGGCGAUCAAGGCCAAGUAUCCGCCAGUCAAUAGGAAGUACGAGUAUUUGGAUCAUACAGCAGAUGUCCAGUGAGUAUAGCGGGAGUUCAUUCCUUUGAAACCACGUCAGUAGGAAGACUGAAUGUUUCAAUCUUGGUAUCCCUAUCUUUAAUUUUUCUCCUCUCAUUUUGGUUCCUUCACAAUAUGAAAAUGAUGGUUUGAAAGCACUCAGUUUUGCAGGGUUCAGUGGCUCAGUGAGCCGAGAUUGCACCACUGCACCCCAGCCUGGGUGACAGAGAGACCCCAUCUCAAAAAAUAAAAAAUAAAAAUAAGGCCGGGUGUGGUGGCUCAACGCCUGUAAUCCCAGCACUUUGGGAGGCUGAGGCGGACGGAUCAUGAGGUCAGGAGUUCGAGACCAGCCUGACCAACAUGGUAAAACCCCGUCUCUACUAAAAAUACAAAAAUUAGCCGGGUCUGGUGGUGCCUGCCUGUAAUCCCAG